GGACACCUGGCAGGGAGCUAGCGGGAGGGCUUGGGGAAUCUGCAAAUGUUCACAGUUCCAAGGGACCGCGGGGGAAAUUUACACCUCCUCCCCCUACUGCUUGUGCUUCCUUUCGCUUUGAAGUUCUGUGGCUCCGCACUGGAGUUGGGGAGGCAAGUCCUCCAGCCUCGGGCUUUUAAUAUUCACAUCACGUCCUCUUUGCAGCUACUUUGGGAGGAUUGAAAGCUACAAAGGACGUUUGGGUGACCUCCCCACAACACAAGGUGGGGUGGGGGGUUUCAACCCACACUGCCCCAUCUUGAAUCGCCAUGGAUGACCAAGUAGUUGAAACACGACGGGGGACUUAGGUGCCAGUCCUUCUAGGCAGAAGGGCCCUCUUGGGAGAAGAAAGUGUUAUUUCCUUUUUGUAUUUUCACUUGAAAAAAAACUGAGAAGAGUGUGACUAGUCGAUGAUAUUUUGACCAUACAGCUGUUGAGCACUUCUGAGGAAGAGGAACAUGGAAGAGACAUUUGUUGAGUACCUAUUACAUGCCAGGCAAUUCCCAUACAUAUUUUACUUAAUCUUCACAACCGCCCAGAGAAAGAGAUCUCUUUUAUCCUUAUUUUAUGGACAUGACAAAACUGAAUAGAAGGCCCUAGUUUACAAACUCCAGGGGCUCCGCUCCAUUUGCUAUCAGCUAAGCAGACUUGGAGCGUGGACCCCUAUUUCUGCUUCUCCCGGGACACUGUAAAUCUCUCCAUUUGCCAUCAGUCUGGAGCUGUGAGCAUGCAGAUGAAAGGCGUUGUGGAUCUGUGAACUACCGUAGCUCUACCUUCGGAGGAACUGACUUUCAGCUUUCAGCCACAUGCAUGAGAGGGGCUGAUUCCAUCUGUCGACCUGUCAGGCUGCCUCUCUUUUGGGCUUCUUUCUUCCCUUCUUGGAGUUUCUUUAAUAAAACAUUUCACUCC
rnacentral:lncRNA from 1 species